rnacentral:rRNA from 1 species
CCAAAAUGGGUGGUAAACUCCAUCUAAAGCUAAAUACUGGCACGAGACCGAUAGCGAACAAGUACCGUGAGGGAAAGAUGAAAAGCACUUUGAAAAGAGAGUCAAACAGUACGUGAAACCGUCAGGGGGGAAACGAACGAGGUUGGUGCAGUGAUCACGCAGGUUCAAGCACCGCCGAGGGUGCCGACGCGUGGACCGAGAUGGUCCCGUGGCGUACGCCCGAGGCGGUGCCGUACUCCUCGUGAGCACGGACCAGCGGCGGUUGGACGGGAGACACAAGGCGGCAGCGGAAGGUGAGUCGACGUGGGUUCGUCCCUCGCUGACAGCUUAUAGCCCUGCCGUUCGGUGCUCCGGUGCGACCGAGGAAGAAGGGCAGCCCUUGCCCGUUGUGGUGCACGCCGUAUGGCGGGGCCUCCCGAUCCGAGUGAGCCGUGCGGUGUGGACUGCGUGCAGUGCUAAUCGUGGCGGCGAUCUCGGGUCGGAGAGCGUCACUUGUGCGCCAGUGCUGCUGGUAUUCAGACGGCCUCGUCCGACCCGUCUUGAAACACGGACCAAGGAGUGCAACAUGUGCGCGAGCCCUUUGGCGAGUAAACCAGAAGGCGCAAUGAAAGUGAAGGCACGGUCGCCGUGCUGAGGUGAGAGCCGUCUCCGACGGCGCAUCAUCGACCGAUCCCAUCCGCUCCCUCGUGGUGCGGCGGGAUUCGAGUAAGAGUGUACCUGUUGCGACCCGAAAGAUGGUGAACUAUGCCUGAAUAGGGUGAAGCCAGAGGAAACUCUGGUGGAGGCCCGUAGCGAUUCUGACGUGCAAAUCGAUCGUCAAAUUUGGGUAUAGGGGCGAAAGACUAAUCGAACCAUCUAGUAGCUGGUUCCCUCCGAAGUUUCCCUUAGGAUAGCUGUAGCCCGAAGCAGUUUUAUCAGGUAAAGCGAAUGAUUAGAGGUAUCGGGGAAGAAACUUCCUCGACCUAUUCUCAAACUUUAAAUAGGUAAGAAGUCCGACUUGCUCAAUUUGAAGCCGGACACAGAAUGCUGGGUUACUAGUGGGCCAUUUUUGGUAAGCAGAACUGGCGAUGCGGGAUGAACCGAACGCCGAGUUAAGGUGCCAAAGU